GGUUCAUAUUCUGUUUGGAGAAAAGAGGUACCAGCCGCAAGGAGUUUGCCUGUAUGAUCCCUGAAAGACACACCCAGACCUUUCCCCUUGUUUUCGCGAAUGGAGGCAUCAAAGUUACCUUUGAUCAUUCCUAUUUCUGGAGGCUUCCAACGAGGAGGGAUCGGGGGCGCAUGAUUCAACCGACUUUGGUUUUGUUAUGGUUCUGGGGUCAGCAUUCUGGAAGCUUGGAGAAGAACUUGGUCAGGUGCCACACGCUUUUGGUCGAAGAGCCACGUAUUCCUUCUUUUCCAGAUGGCCCAUGCCACUGAGAAGAGCCAUUGUUGGCCAGUUUCAGGAAGCUGAGGUAACAGAUGUGCGAGCCAAUCUUUGAAGCUCAUGCCCUUCAUAAAAGUGUAUUAACAUGUAUCGCCUUGUUUUUAUUGCAUUUGGUCCAAGUUAUUCUUAUUCACUCAUUAGAUUGUUGUACGGCCAAAAAUGGAGUGAUGGAGAAGCAGCAACUGCCCUCCGGUAUUAUUGCUUUUAUGUCAUUGUAUUGGCUAUGAAUGGUAAUACACUUUAUCCCUUAUUGCUUAAUUUUUUAUACCGAGUAAUUUUAUUGUUUACAGGUUAUGACCAUAGCAUCUUCUGUUUUUGCUCUUCAUAAAUCUUUUUUUUUGACACACGUUUUUGGGCUCUAUUUUGUAGAUUUAGGAUGAAUUAGUAAAUUGAAUGUCAGUUUUGUUAGAUUGUCAUGAAUCAUGAUAGUUAUUAACACCAUCGGAUAACUGUUAUAUUGUGAGAAAUUUGAAGAUUGUUCCAUCUAUUGUUGGGGAUGAAUGAGGAUGGCUGUGUAGACAUUUGGGUAUGGCUGGGAUAAGUUAAGAAACCACAUAUUUUAUGCACUUAAAGGAAGACUUGGUACUGGCUAGCCAUGCUGUAGGACACAAGAUAUUGGAAGAGGUGCAAAUAUUAAUUCAAUGGAAUGUUCAUUGAAAAUGGGAUAUUGAAAGGCAAUGAGUGGAUGUAUGUGGAGAGAUAAUUUAAUACAAUAAGAUGGUUGAAAAGGUGCACUUUACCCUUGAUGGGUAUUGAAGAAACUCAUAAUAGAGAGAAAAAAGAGAGAACUGAAACUGAUUUGCACUAUAAUCUACUAUUACUUAAGGCAAAACCUCAAGUUACUAUUCCUAAAAAACCUUAAAUCCUGGCCAUUCAAUUCAAUUUCUAAUCCAACGGUUGGUUUUCACUCCUCACCUAUGACACAUGACAUUGUGGGCCUUUGUUUUGUUUUUUUGUCCAAAGUUACUAUUUCAAGUACAAAUAGUUUCUUCUUCCUGCAGUUUUUUGGCCCAAAGACAAAGACGGUUCAUGAUAUCGUCAUCUCAGGGCCAAGUCUUUUCACGGUCAGAGCAAGGAAGGAGAAGGACAAAGCUUUCGUGUACUGUUAGGGUAUCUCAGAACACUGUUCAUGCAGUGAUUUGGUUUUCCUCUCCUUUUUUCCAGGGUUUUCAAUCCAUGAGAUUCCAAUUGAUGAUGAAGGCUUGAUGAAGGCUUUCAUCAUGAUGUAGAAGAUGGAGCAGGAAGCAUGGCUCCAAUGACGCAAGAUACAGUGCAUUUUUGUACCUUAAGCUCCUCUUCCCCGAUUUCAUCAUCCAUUGCGGAUUUGUGGCUCCAAUGGUGUACCAACAGCUGAGUUUCGUUUAUCCAAUUCUUCACUCUUUCAUUGAAACCCCAUUACUCAAUUGAUCCUACAAAUAGUUUACCUACUAAUAUUCAAUUGAUGUCCUACUGGUUAUAGAGUAAUGGCUUUCUUUCAUUCCCACUCCUAUAAAUACUCCUUUGCUUUUCUAGAGUGUGUGUUCAUGCAGUGUUCUCAUGGUUAAUCUCUUCAUUCUUCUCUUGGUUGCUUCAUUGAUCUUGGCUGUGAAACGUGAACGCAACAACUGGUGUAUCACAUUGUUACACUUACUGCACAUGCGAUGGUUCUUCUAUGGAGAAAAUGAGAUGAAAAUGAAGAUGGGAGAGUUGAAUGAGGUUAUAUCAAAUUUGAGGAUGAUGAUUUCCUCUUUAGAAGAGAGAAUUACAAAGGAAGAACGAGAUAAAUUGCCAUGAAGCUAUUGAUUGUUAUAGAAAAGAAAAGGAUGCCAAAGUGAAGCGGAGAAAAUGCAAGCUUCACUUUCAACUGAGCUUGACAAAGUUCGGUAUGAGAAAUAAGUUGCUGAGAAGAAGGCUAUUUCAAAUGAGACCUGUACAAGCGAUCACAAGAGUAUAAUAUGAGUCUACAACAGUACAAUAGUCGCAUUCAGUCAGAUCUUGAAACAACUAAUGAGGCACAUAAACGACUAGAAACAGAGAAAUCAACUAUUGUUGAGAACCUUAGCAAUGUAAGAGGGCACAAUAAGGCAUUGCAGGAGCAGUUGUCAUCUCUAAAGGCUUCACAAGAUGAGGCUACUAAGCAAAAUGAAAUUUUAGCAAAUGAACUCAAAUUCCCCAGAGAAGAAUUAAAGCAAAUUAGAGAUGAUCGUGAUCAUCAACAGACCAAGUGCAUUCUAUAACUGGAGAAGUAGCAAAAUACAAAGAAUAUACAGAGAAAUCUUGGAUACCUUGACAACUAAAACUAAUGCUCUUGAGGAGACAUGUACUUCUCAAAUGGAGCAAAUAAAUAUGCUGCAGCAGCAGUUAAUUGCUGAAGGGGAGAAGUUAAAGAGAUGCCCCGAAGAUUCAAUAAAAGUGGUGAAAAGAAGAAACAUGAGAACCAAGGAAGAGAACUCGCUUCUGGAAAAUACAGUUGUAAAAUGUAUUUGUAUAAUUCAAAUACAUCCCAACAUUGAUGCCAAAUUUGUCUCAAACAUAGCUUAAGGAGAAUUUCAUUUUCGUCUGAUGGAAAAUAGAAGAGUUUAUUUUUCCCCAUUGUCUUGCUAACUUGAACCUCUGAAGCCUUUAAGCAUGCAGUUGCAACAGAGAGCCAACUCAAGCGAUCAAAUGAUUCACUGCUUGUCUUCUCUGUGAACUAUAUAGCUUUGAACGUCUUACUAAUAAAGUUAUCUGGGGCAGUUGGCUUGAUUAUUGCAAAUUCUCUGAAUAUGACUUUGAGGAUUUUAUACUCUGCAAUAUUCAUAAAGAAUUACUUCAAGGGAUCUUCUUCCUUUUCUUUCUGUGACUGCUUGCCUUCAGGAUGGAUUAUUCUGUUACUUUCAGGUGUAAUCACUCUCAUCUCUGAGAAUGUAUUUCUGGACCAAGAUAAUUUCUGGCCAUCAUUUAUGAUCCAUUUCUCCAUUGGGCUGGCUUGCUUCUGUGUGUCAUCAUAUGUGAUCUAUUGUCGGGAAAAGCCUUUCAUCAAAAGAAUUAUUCGCUUUCGUGAUCACUCGGACUGAAGACUUCUGCUACUAUUUAACUGUGAGUUUAGGUAGAAAGUCUUAUGGUACGGUGGAAAUGGAUUCUCAGGUGGAAAUUUCUGUAGUCAGGAUAGCUUUCACCCAUUGCUCAUGGCAUUCCUCUACUGCUGCCUAGUCCAGGUUGGAGGACAUGUUAUUGUUAGGUGCAUGUCCUCGAUAUCCCAUUGUUCCUAUCUUUUGAGGGAGGAAGCUUAUGGAACUUCUUUUCUUAGAAUGAUUUUGUAAUUUGUGUUUUGGGCUUUGGUUCCAUUUAAUUAAAAAAAAAAAAAGUUGAGAAGGCCA